GAUGAACGCUGGCGGCGUGCCUAAUACAUGCAAGUCGAGCGAACAGACGAGGAGCUUGCUCCUCUGACGUUAGCGGCGGACGGGUGAGUAACACGUGGAUAACCUACCUAUAAGACUGGGAUAACUUCGGGAAACCGGAGCUAAUACCGGAUAAUAUAUUGAACCGCAUGGUUCAAUAGUGAAAGACGGUUUUGCUGUCACUUAUAGAUGGAUCCGCGCCGCAUUAGCUAGUUGGCAAGGUAACGGCUUACCAAGGCAACGAUGCGUAGCCGACCUGAGAGGGUGAUCGGGCACACUGGAACUGAGACACGGUCCAGACUCCUACGGGAGGCAGCAGUAGGGAAUCUUCCGCAAUGGGCGAAAGCCUGACGGAGCAACGCCGCGUGAGUGAUGAAGGUCUUCGGAUCGUAAAACUCUGUUAUUAGGGAAGAACAAAUGUGUAAGUAACUAUGCACGUCUUGACGGUACCUAAUCAGAAAGCCACGGCUAACUACGUG
rnacentral:rRNA from 1 species